GAUAACAGUUACUAGACAUUCUCUUGGGCUGGUAAUUCUAGCAUUCAAAUGGCUAAGGUUUUCCACUGGCAAGAAUUUAGUGAACAUAAUAUCGGCAAACAGAAAACAUUGACCAGACACUGGUAGAAAUGGAAAGGUAAAACAUAAUUUCAAGAGGUCACGAAAAGAAGGUAAAACAAAAGUGUCGGGGAAAGAACCACAUCUAAAGCUACAAGUUGUGGGACUGGAGCAUAUUAAAAAAACAUUUCAAGUUCAUCCCUCUCUCUACUAUUGACAACAGUGUAGCUACAGGAAGUAAAAUCUUUUAAAGUCAG